UGACACUCCCUCCCGCCUCACCCAGGCGGGAGCAGUCAUUCGAAGAUUAUCCACCCUUAAAAAAAAAUGUACUGAAGCCUCUGAUCUUUCUUCGCUCGUGUCGGAUUAUUGUUCCGUUGGAUCAAGAGAGUGCAUCUGCAUUGGUUCGUACACAUAUCUGCAUUGUAAUAUCUCCUGCGUAGUUGUAGUAAACCACUGGGUUCGCAACCGUAGUUGAAAAGGACUUCAUGAAUUCAAACAGGUGGAAUAACAUUGGGAUAUUUUAUUUAUAAUUUAUACUACGAUCUCCUUUCCUGAUUCAACUUGUUUGCCACGUGUAAAGGUUAUUGCAAAUACUUCGUUUAUAGAGGAGACCCAUACUCCAGCAGUGGACUGUCAUUAGAUGUCGAGGUGGUUACAAUAAGGUCGGUCUUCGAAGCUGAAUUAUCGAGGAACGAGGACAGACCACGAUAUGAAUAACAUCUAUGAAAUCACGCCGUUCAAUUCCCUAAGGGGUAAGCUCAAAUGUAUACAAACGCAUGGCACACUUAAAAUGACACAAUGCAAGGUUCUAAGACAUAUGACGGUAACGUAAAGGGUAUGGGGCAAUUUGUUUAAGGGUAAGACGACACGUGUUGACAUGGUGACGUCAUGACGUGACCUGACGUGACGUGGGACAUAAGGUGAGGUUAAUUAACUCCAGUGAGUGAUGACCAACUGGCCUUUAUAAUAUGUCACUGUCUUCAUGAAGAGGUUGGGAAUAUUGGAAUAGGAAGACACUCUCGUAAGGUUUUUGUGAUGACGUGAUUGUUGUAUGAGUUGCACUUAAAUAUCGUGCUAUCUCUGUCAUUUUAUAAUGUUUGUAAGUUUCUAAAAUUUGGAGUGAUAGAACUAUAUUUGUAUUAUAACUUCGUGAGACAUACUAAAUAAAUUAUUAUGUUUUCGGCUUACUCACGUAUCUAAUAAUCAUCUACACGACAGCCGCCGCGGUGCGGGUCGCGGAUUGCUGCUCAUGAAUAUGAGCCUCUAGCAUGGCUUGAAACUAGUCGAGUUCCUCGUCAAAUUAUUACAUGAGUAAGCCGAAAACAUAAUAAUUUAUGACAGAACUAUAUUUAAGCGCGAUUUGAAAUGGAGUAGCCUUUUCGGUGUUAUUCUAUGAUACUUGACAGUUAUUGAUCUUGAAUAAUAUGCUUCUGGGUCGAAAAAAGUUUUUUUUUUAUUGCGA